GGCAACACUGCUCUCUACACUUUAGCCCAGUCAGCGAGUCACGGAGUUAGUUAGCUCACAAGCUAACAGCAGCAGCAGGAAUAACAGAGUUAGUUAGCUCACAAGUUAACAGCAAGAGCUAACCUCAGGAGAGGCAGGAGUCACGAAGCUAAAUAGCUCACAAGCUAACAGCAGCAGCUAACAGCAGCAGGAAAAACGGAGUUAGUUAGCUCACAAGCUAACAGCAGCAGCUAACAGCCGCAGGAAUAACGGAGUUAGUUAGCUUACAAGGUAACAGCAGCAGUUAACAGCAGCAGGAAUAACGGAGUAAGUUAGCUCACAAGCUAACAGCAGCAGGAGGAGUCACAGAGUUACUAGAUAUGCGGACGUUUGUGUUUGUUUCCACCCCAAAUUACCUCAGAAUUAUAACUACGCGGUUUAGUGGACACGGCUGCCAGAUAGCAAAUGCACAGAUGCUGGAUGAACCUCAGAGUUCAAUUGAUAGGCACUCCAGCAUGUUACAGACUGCUGAGUGUUUUCAGUACCUAAAAACUCUAGAGAAAAAGGAGAACAUCAAUAAAGACUUCAUGCAGUGGUACAUCAUCUACCAGAAUCAUUUCUCGAUUCGGAGAUUUAACCAUUCAUGUGCUACAGUGAAGAAAGAGUAUUGGAAUACUGGAGGGACUGCCCGCUCGACAAUGAAGGAUUCCACCUCAGAAGAAGUUUUCUAGCAAGGUGAGUGGCAAGUAAAACAAAUGGACAUAGUGAGGGGAAAACACUGAAUAAGGCAGUAAAAACAUUGGGCUCAAUAUAAGGAUGUCCGAGAGGGUUUAGAAAAUCUUAGCCCAAAACUGCUGUAAUAAGGGACAGGACCAAAAUGAAUGCAGGUGAUUUGCUAGAACUUGUUGACACUUGUUGACAUUCUGUUCUGUUUGAGAUAUGUCUGGUGUUUAGUCACAUAUGACAGAGUUAUACGUGACAGAAUAUAUUGCUUCUUCUCUUUCUUUCAGGAUAGUGUUGAGCACUCUUGUGCCACAGAGCUCAAUUAACUCAUUCUGUGUGUCUAGACAGAAUGAGUAGUGAGGUAUGAGGUAGUGAGUUAAACGGGACCCUUUCUUUUUUUUAAGGUUUGGCCUCUGAAUGCAAUUUUUUGUGAAGACAAAUAAAGCGUUAUAUCCAAAAGCCUCUCUAAGAUCU
rnacentral:lncRNA from 1 species